rnacentral:rRNA from 1 species
AGGGGAAUUUUGGACAAUGCGCGCAAGCCUGAUCCAGCCAUGCCGCGAGAGUGAUGAAGGCCCUAAGGUUGUAAAGCUCUUUCACCGGUGAAGAUAAUGACGGUAACCGGAGAAGAAGCCCCGGCUAACUUCGUGCCAGCAGCCGCGGUAAUACGAAGGGGGCUAGCGUUGUUCGGAUUUACUGGGCGUAAAGCGCACGUAGGCGGACUUUUAAGUCAGGGGUGAAAUCCAGGGGCUCAACCCCGGAACUGCCUUUGAUACUGGAAGUCUUGAGUGUGGUAGCGGUGAGUGGAAUUCCGAGUGUAGAGGUGAAAUUCGUCGAUCUUCGGAGGAACACCAGUGGCGAAGGCGGCUCACUGGACCAUUACUGACGCUGAGGUGCGAAAGCGUGGGGAGCAAACAGG